AGUGAACGCUGGCGGCGUGCCUAAUACAUGCAAGUCGAACGGAGUGGCGCACGGGUGAGUAAUAUAUAGCUAAUUUGCCCAUUGCUGGAGGACAACAGUUAGAAAUGACAGCUAAUACUCCAUAGAAAGGGAUGAGAAUAUAUCGUAGCAGCGCGUCGGUGGGGAACCGGCCUACCGAGGAUAUGACGCGUAACUGGUCUGAGAGGAUGAUCAGUCACACUGGAACCGUGACACGGGCCAAACUCCUACGGGAUGCAGCAGUAGGGAAUAGUGCGCAAUGGGGGAAAUCCUGACGCAGCAACGCCGCGUGGAGGAUGACACUUUUCGGAGCGUAAACUCCUUUUGUUAGGGAAGCGGUACCUAACGAAUAAGCACCGGCUAACUCCGUGCCAGCAGCGGCGGUAAUUC
rnacentral:rRNA from 1 species